rnacentral:lncRNA from 1 species
UUGGAUUUAAUCUUCUUUCACCAAAAUUUUCGUGCAUUGAGUUGCAUUGGUCACGAACGGUUCCAUGUUACAUGAAAAGGUGCAUUGGCAGUUCCGGCACCCUUUCAUGUUUUCAUCAUAACUCAUUCGUAUAAUCUCCGAUUUAGACAAUUGAACAUGUUCUGGAAAGCCAAAUAAAUUUUCUGAAACUCUAGUGAAACGUUAAAAUUUCCAUAUUCUUCAUCUUCGAAAAAGACGUGGAAUGUCAACCAUGUCUGCUGUCCGAAAAUGAAUCAUCUCUCCAAUUUGAUUUUGUAACUUCUCGGAUUAUGAACAUAAAUCUUCUUCAUUUCUGUGGUUUGCAAAUUCAAAAAAUACAUGAUAAUGUCUUACGAUUGU